rnacentral:rRNA from 1 species
CGUAGGGGCAAGCGUUGUCCGGAAUUAUUGGGCGUAAAGGGCGCGCAGGCGGCCUGUUAAGUCUGAUGUGAAAGACCGCGGCUCAACCGCGGGGUGGCAUCAGAAACUGGCAGGCUUGAGUGCAGGAGAGGAGAGUGGAAUUCCCGGUGUAGCGGUGGAAUGCGUAGAGAUCGGGGAGGAACACCAGUGGCGAAGGCGGCUCUCUGGCCUGUUACUGACGCUGAGGCGCGAAAGCGUGGGAGCGAACAGGAUU